rnacentral:rRNA from 1 species
AUGGCUGCCAGACAAGGCCAGCCAUCACACGGGACGCGUCGAGCAGGGCUAGUGGCGCCGUCGCGGAGACCAGCCACCUGCACCUUGCCGCCGCCGACCAUGGCCGCUGCCGCGCCGGCCCGCAGCCUCCGCCACCCGGAUCCGCCGAGACACAGCCAAGCAGCCACAGCCGCGCCCCCAAAGGGUCGCGCCGCGCCGCCCGCGUGCUCGCCACGCCAGUCCAGAGGCCCGACCCUCUGGAUCUGGGGCCGCCGUCGCGAAACCCUAGGUUCGGAGAAGCGCAGCUCCGUCAGCCUCGUCGAGCCCCACGCUCGAGGGGGGAGGCCACCUGGGAGCGAAGUCCCGCCGCCAUGA